rnacentral:rRNA from 1 species
AACCUGGUUGAUCCUGCCAGUAGUCAUAUGCUUGUCUCAAAGACUAAGCCAUGCAUGUCUAAGUAUAGGUGUUAUACAGCGAAACUGCGAAUGGCUCAUUAAAACAGUUAUAGUUUAUUUGACAAUCGAAUUUACAUGGAUAACCGUGGUAAUUCUAGAGCUAAUACAUGCUGGUGUGCCCGACUUCGCGGAAGGGCGGUAUUUAUUAGAUAACAAGCCAAUAUUCCUCUGGUCUAUUGUGGUGACUCAUAAUAACUGAUCGAAUCGCAAGGCCUGUGGCCGCGAUAAGUCAUUCAAGUUUCUGCCCCAUCAGCUUUCGAUGGUAGUGUAUUGGACUACCAUGGCGUUUACGGGUAACGGAGGAUUAGGGUUCGAUUCCGGAGAGGGAGCCUGAGAAACGGCUACCACAUCUAAGGAAGGCAGCAGGCGCGUAAAUUACCCAAUCCUGACUCAGGGAGGUAGUGACAAGAAAUAACGGACCGAGGCCCUCGGGCUUCGGGAUUGCAAUGAGCCGAAUUUACACCCCUUAGCGAGGAUCGAUUGGAGGGCAAGUCUGGUGCCAGCAGCCGCGGUAAUUCCAGCUCCAAUAGC